AUUGAACGCUGGCGGCAGGCUUAACACAUGCCAGUCGAGCGGGGUGAUGGUGCUUGCACUAUCACUUAGCGGCGGACGGGUGAGUAAUGAUUAGGAAUCUGCCUAUUAGUGAGGGACAACAUCUCGAAAGGGAUGCUAAUACCGCAUACGUCCUACGGGAGAAAGCAGGGGAUCACUUGUGACCUUGCGCUAAUAGAUGAGCCUAAGUCGGAUUAGCUAGUUGGUGGGGUAAACGCCUACCAAGGCGACGAUCUUUAGCGGGUCUGAGAGGAUGAUCCGCCACACUGGGACUGAGACACGGCCCAGACUCCUACGGGAGGCAGCAGUGGGGAAUAUUGGACAAUGGGGGGAACCCUGAUCCAGCCAUGCCGCGUGUGUGAAGAAGGCCUUAUGGUUGUAAAGCACUUUAAGCGAGGAGGAGGCUCUUUUGGUUAAUACCCAAGAUGAGUGGACGUUACUCGCAGAAUAAGCACCGGCUAACUCUGUGCCAGCCGCCGCCGUAA
rnacentral:rRNA from 1 species